AAUGAACGCUGGCGGCGUGCUUAACACAUGCAAGUCGAGCGAGGCGGAGGGGGCAACUCCUCUAGCCGAGCGGCGGACGGGUGAGUAACACGUGGGUAACCUGCCCGGAAGUGGGGAAUACCUCGGGGAAACUCGAGCUAAUGCCGCAUGACAUCUCCGGGACGAAAGUCCUGGCGAUCAAAGCGGGGUCGCAAGAUCUCGCGCUACCGGAUGGGCCCGCGCCCGAUUAGCUAGUUGGUGAGGUAACGGCUCACCAAGGCGACGAUCGGUAGCCGGCCUGAGAGGGUGAUCGGCCACACCGGAACUGAGACACGGUCCGGACUCCUACGGGAGGCAGCAGUGGGGAAUCUUGCGCAAUGGGCGAAAGCCUGACGCAGCAACGCCGCGUGGAGGAUGAAGGCCCUUGGGUUGUAAACUCCUGUCGGCUGGGAAGAAGUCGUGCGGUGCUCAUACCACCACGCGUUGACUGUACCAGCAAAGGAAGCCCCGGCUAACUCUGUGCCAGCAGCCGCGGUAAUACAGAGGGGGCCAGCGUUAUUCGGAAUUAUUGGGCGUAAAGGGCGCGUAGCGG
rnacentral:rRNA from 1 species